GAUUUAAGCAUAUCCAAUAAGCGGAGGAAAAGAAACCCAACAGGGAUUGCCCUAGUAACGGCGAGUGAAGCGGCAACAGCUCAAAUUUGAAAUCUGGCGUAAGCCCGAGUUGUAAUUUGUAGAGGAUGCUUCUGGGUAGCGGCCGGUCUAAGUUCCUUGGAACAGGACGUCAUAGAGGGUGAGAAUCCCGUAUGUGACUGGCUUGCACCCUCCACGUAGCUCCUUCGACGAGUCGAGUUGUUUGGGAAUGCAGCUCUAAAUGGGAGGUAAAUUUCUUCUAAAGCUAAAUACCGGCCAGAGACCGAUAGCGCACAAGUAGAGUGAUCGAAAGAUGAAAAGCACUUUGGAAAGAGAGUUAAAAAGCACGUGAAAUUGUUGAAAGGGAAGCGCCCGCAACCAGACUUUGCGGCGGUGUUCGGCUGGUCUUCUGACCGGUUUACUCGCCGCCGUGAGGCCAUCAUCGUCUGGGACCGCUGGAUAAGACCUGAGGAAUGUAGCUCCCUUCGGGGUGUGUUAUAGCCUCUGGUGAUGCAGCGCGUCUCGGGCGAGGUCCGCGCUUCGGCAAGGAUGAUGGCGUAAUGGUUGUCGGCGGCCCGUCUUGAAACACGGACCAAGGAGUCUAACAUCUAUGCGAGUGUUCGGGUGUCAAACCCCUACGCGUAAUGAAAGUGAACGGAGGUGGGAACUUUUUGUGCACCAUCGACCGAUCCUGAUGUCCUCGGAUGGAUUUGAGUAAGAGCAUAGCUGUUGGGACCCGAAAGAUGGUGAACUAUGCCUGAAUAGGGUGAAGCCAGAGGAAACUCUGGUGGAGGCUCGCAGCGGUUCUGACGUGCAAAUCGAUCGUCAAAUUUGGGUAUAGGGGGCGAAAGACUAAUCGAACUGAUCUAGUAGCUGGUUUCCUGCCGAAAGUUCCCCCUUCAAGGAA
rnacentral:rRNA from 1 species